CAAAUAUUUCUUCUUAUUAUUAUUUCUUUUGCUGGGUUAUUAUUUUGUGAAAUCUUUGUUAGAUUCUGGCUCCUAGUUUUGUACUAGAAGAGCUUGUUGAAUCCUGAGGAUACACCCAUACCGGGUGAAAUAUCCUUAAGGAUAGUGCCAUUGGCAUGCCUCAAGCUACGAAGAAUUCUCUACAAGUGUUCGUGAUCAAGUAUUUUCCUCAAGCUUAGAAGAAGUUUCUGCAAGUGUUCGUGAUGAAGAGAAGUCCCGUCAAGUGUUCGUGAUGAAGAGAAGUCCUACAUUUGUUAGUGAUGAAGUAUUUUUCCGUUCCCCUUCUACUCAAGACCAGACCGCUGUUGAAGCAGGUGAAAAAGUAUUGGAGGCUCAGUUGCAGGAGGCAGUCAAGCCCCUCAUCCAUCUGAUGUGCGACACAUCCUUAUACACACCCAUUGCUGUCAACACCUUGGGCCUGACUGUUCAAAACUACAUUCGUCUUACCAAGUGUUCUUGAGCAUUUCCGAUCCUGCAGUGUUGAAGAGGACAGUUUGGGAUGCCAUCCAAGCUGGGGUUUGUGGUUGUUAUACUAAUCGACCCUCUAAUCUGUCUGUGGCUGAUGUUUUAAAGAUAUCCAAAUGGAUGAAGUCACCUCAAGGUGUUUACUGUACUGUCCGCGGCAUCAACAAGAGGAAGAAGCUAGAUCAUGAUAAUUCUGUGAAUGAAGGUAUAUUAGUGCAGAUUCUCUCGACACAAUUCCAAGAUUAUAAAGCUAAGACAAAGGAGACUAGGAGCCGCUAUGACCAGGAGAUUAACCGCUUGCGUCUGGAGAUGCAACGGUUAGAAGGGGAAAAACUCUGUCAACUGAACCAGCUGAGGCUAUCAUUCUUUCCUGCAUGCUACUUCAAGGAGCAAAGUACUUAUAUCCUUGGCAAAGAGUCUUAUGACAUGUAUGCUAGUGAGGUCACAAGUAGUGGUAAGGUUCCAAUGCCGUGAACAGAUUGUGCAAUAGAAAUGGCGACGGAGAAGUAUGGUGAAAAAAGUGCGCAACCUGAAGAUAGCGGCUUUUAUCCCACAGAAUCAAGUUGCUGGCCGCGCGCUUAGAGACUAUCUUGAAAAGCACAUUAUUAAGUUAGCUGAGGCGGGAGAUCUUGGCCAAAUUGAGAAACUUCGGAGUGACUUGGCUGCAAUUGGUGGAGAAACAAAAGCGGUGAAUGCUGCUAUCAAGGCGGCAAUCCGUCGCAAAUUGGGCGCCCACAACUUAGAGGGGGAUAACUUGAAGGAGGACAAGAAGAAGUUGGACGAGAAGCAGCAGCAGUUGAAAUAGAUUCUGGUGCUGCUAUCAGAUUUUUGGUGCUGCUACUGUGCUGCAUUUUCAUGAGAUGUUCUCAAGAUUUCAAAUUGGAUGAAAUCGCCUGAAGGGGAUAGCGGCAUGCGUGUCAUCUACAAAAAGCGGAAGCUAGAGAAGAAGGUGGAAUCAGCCGUGUCUGUGAAGAAGGUGGAUAGGGUCCUCUUAACACAACUCCAGUAUAAAGCUGAGAUAAAGGAGAUAACAAGAAGAUAGACAGUAACAAAGUUCUAUUUGUUCCGUCUUCCCUUGGCGGUGGGCUUCAAUUUACUACUAAUAACGACUGAUGAUAAUUUCCCUGGGGUUUUAGUUAUUUUCUUUUAAAUUGUUUUUCUGUUUGUUAGAGAUAGAGUUUAUCUCUAUCACUUCCGUUUAUUUAGUUCUCUUUAAAUUGUUUUUCUGUUAUACUAUAGUUAUCAUGUACAGACUUUGUAUCCAUUUAGGACUCUAUGUAUCAGUAGGGUAUAGCCCUUUAUAUACUGCUGUACAAGUUAAUAAAAUUGCAUCGAUUCAUUCUUUUU